rnacentral:rRNA from 1 species
UACGGGGGGGAGCAAGCGUUGUUCGGAUUUACUGGGCGUAAAGGGCGCGUAGGCGGUCGUGACAAGUCACUUGUGAAAUCUCCGGGCUUAACUCGGAACGGUCAAGUGAUACUGUCGGACUAGAGUACAGAAGGGGCAACUGGAAUUCUCGGUGUAGCGGUGAAAUGCGUAGAUAUCGAGAGGAACACCUGCGGCGAAGGCGGGUCUCUGGGCCGAUACUGACGCUGAGGAGCGAAAGCGUGGGGAGCAAACAGG